AAAGCACAAACCAGAAAAGUGCAAUAUAGACAGGAAGAUAACAAGGAUCAUAGAAGAAAAAUCACAUAGCUCAGGAAAGUGCAUGUUUCUGAUGUGGAUUUGACAUCAUAUUUUACCUGUAUUCAUUCCUACAGGCAGCAUGAAAAGCAAGCAUUGACAAGGAAGUUAUCUUGGCAUAUGGUCUUGGACAGCAUGGCCUGUGCAGAAGGGGCAGCAUGGAAGGUGACACUGAGGCACCUGUGUGGCUUUGAAGGAGGAGGCAGGAGAUAUGGACAGAUUGGAAUGCACGUGGCCGGCAUGAUUGAUCUCAGAAGUAUAAUACCAAAUACCUGAAAUUCUGAAUAGUUAUCAUGAUAGCACCUUCGUGUUGGUGCCCAACUGGUGCAAUUUUGUAUUUGAUCCACAUCUUGCAGAGGAGGCACAAUCUCUGUUAUCUCUGUUGGCAAAGUCAACAUCAGGGAAAGAUGAGGACAUCUGGGGCUCUUCAGCAGAAUUUUUGCUUGGAUUUUCUGUUUGCUUUGGGAUACUUUCUUUUCUCCAAACACGUAUUUGAGUUCAUUCUGCAGUCAGUCAGGGAUUAAGCAGGCUGGAGAGAAGUGUGUCAAUGAAGAUGUGUAAGUACCUGUAGGGGGAAAGGAAGACUGAGAGGAGAAGAAACAUGCAAGGAACAAGGAAAAAAGACAAUUGCCACCCAAAAUGGAGCAACUGGAAAACUCAGUCUAUAAACAAAAUGUGGCAAGGAUUUAAAACCGUGGGAGACUUUGUAACAUCAGAAAUAGGAAGCAAAGCUUUGAGGCUUUGCUGAGGCUUCACAUACAUUGCACAGGAGUUGUGAAGAUGGUGAAUGUGUUCCAUGGCCUGAGGGGAGGACUGAC